UACGUAGGGUGCAAGCGUUGUCCGGAAUUAUUGGGCGUAAAGAGCUCGUAGGCGGUCUGUCGCGUCGGCUGUGAAAACCCGGAGCUCAACUCCGGGCCUGCAGUCGAUACGGGCAAACUGGAGUGUUGCAGGGGAGACUGGAAUUCCUGGUGUAGCGGUGAAAUGCGCAGAUAUCAGGAGGAACACCGGUGGCGAAGGCGGGUCUCUGGGCCGAUACUGACGCUGAGGAGCGAAAGCGUGGGUAGCACACAGU
rnacentral:rRNA from 1 species